UACGUAGGGGGCAAGCGUUGUCCGGAUUUAUUGGGCGUAAAGAGCGGGUAGGCGGCCAGGUAGGUCAGCUGUGAAAACUCGAGGCUCAACCUCGAGACGUCGGUUGAAACCACCUGGCUAGAGUCCGGAAGAGGAGAGUGGAAUUCCUGGUGUAGCGGUGAAAUGCGCAGAUAUCAGGAAGAACACCCGUGGCGAAGGCGGCUCUCUGGGACGGUACUGACGCUGAGACGCGAAAGCGUGGGGAGCGAACAGG
rnacentral:rRNA from 1 species